GCCUUCGUAGUACAGUGGUUAGUAUAGAGGAUUGUGGAUCCUCGGACAGGGUUUCGAUUACCCUCGAGGGCC
rnacentral:tRNA from 2 species